rnacentral:rRNA from 1 species
CUACGGGGGGCUGCAGUGGGGAAUAUUGGGCAAUGGGCGCAAGCCUGACCCAGCAACGCCGCGCGAGGGAAGAAUGUCUUCGGAUUGUAAACCUCGGUCCCAUGGGACGAACAAAUGACGGUACCAUGGGAGGAAGCUCCGGCUAACUACGUGCCAGCAGCCGCGGAAAUACGUAGGGAGCGAGCGUUGUCCGGAAUUACUGGGCGUAAAGGGUGCGUAGGCGGCAUAAUAAGUCAGAUGUGAAAUACCCGGGCUCAACUCGGGGGGUGCAUUUGAAACUAUUAAGCUUGAGUACAGGAGAGGAAAGCGGAAUUCCUAGUGUAGCGGUGAAAUGCGUAGAUAUUAGGAGGAACACCAGUGGCGAAGGCGGCUUUCCGGACUGUCACUGACGCUGAGGCACGAAAGCGUGGGGAGCAAACAGGAUUAGAUACCCUAGUAGUC